rnacentral:lncRNA from 11 species
GGCUUAACUCAUUUAAUGGUCGGCUGGUGAUUGCCCAGGCCUCCUCCUUCAGAUACCUUGAUUCCAAGAAUCCUGCUCCUCUGCACAGCCAGACACCGGAGAAUAGUUUGCUGAGAAUUGUCAGCCUUUUCCUACCACAACUGAUUGGCCAAGUUUUGCAUACAACAGGAGCUCUAGUGUGCC